AUUGAACGCUGGCGGCAGGCUUAACACAUGCAAGUCGAACGAGUGGCGGACGGGUGAGUAAUGUUUGGGAAUCUGGCUGAUGGAGGGGGAUAACGACGGGAAACGGUCGCUAAUACCGCGUACCAUAGGAUGAGCCCAAGUGGGUUUAGGUAGUAGGUGGGGUAAUGGCUCACCUAGGCGACGAUCCCUAGCUGGUCUGAGAGGAUGACGAGCCACACGGGAACUGAGACACGGUCCAGACUCCUACGGUAGGCAGCAGUGGGGAAUAUUGCACAGUGGGCGCAAGCCUGAUGCAGCCAUGCCGCGUGUGUGAAGAAGGCCUUCGGGUUGUAAAGCACUUUCAGCGGGGAGGCGUUACCCGCAGAAGAAGCACCGGCUAACUCCGUGCCAGCCGCCGCGGUAAUUC
rnacentral:rRNA from 1 species